rnacentral:lncRNA from 1 species
UGGGAGACUCGCCGAAUUCCUAGGGCCAGCCCAAGGCCGGGCCCUGGACUCACUUUCCAAUCUGCUGAUUCGGACCCUACUUUAUUGACAAGACCUGGACAACCAACACUUACAUGUGUGCCCCUGCCUAUUCUUCCCAGUCCAUCUCAGCAGACAGGGAGCAACAAUGUAAACACUUUCAGACCUGCUUACAGUUCAUUUUCUUCUGGACACAGAACCUACGGAAAUUCAUUUUAUGGAAGCUCUAGCCCUUAUAGUUAUGGAUACAAUGGUUUGGGCUUUAACUGCCUCUGUGUAGACGAUCUUCCUCCCAGUAGGUUUGUUCAGCAAGCUGAAGAAAGCAGCAGAGGUGCAUUUCAGUCCAUUGAAAGCAUUGUGCAUGCAUUUGCCUCUGUCAGCACGAUGAUGGGUGCUACUUUUUCAGCCAUCUAUAAGAGUUUCAGGGCCGUAUUAGAUGUAGCAAAUCACUUUUCCUGGCUAAAAAUAUACUUUACAAAGGUUUUUCAGCCUUUGCAUUAGUUAGGACUAUAAGAUAUCUUUAUAGACGGUUACAGUGGAUGAUGGGUUUAAGAAGAGGCUCUGAGAAUGAGGACUUGUGGGCAGAAAGUGAAGGAACUGUGUCCUGCCUUAGUACCGAGGACCAAGCAACUAACUCAGCAAAAUCUUGGCCAAUAUUCCUGUUCUUUACUGUUAUCCUUGGUGGUCCUCAUCUCAUCUGGAUACUUCUAUCUACUCGCAAUGAUGAAGUAACAGACAACACCAACUGGGCAAGUGAUGAGGAUCACCAAGUAGUUGCAAGAGCAUAAUACGAUUUUGUUGCUAUGUCUGAUGAAGAGAUUUCUUUCUGUGCUGGUGAGAUGCUAAAUUUAGCGCUCAAAGAACAACAACCCAAUGUUCAAGGUUGGCUUCUGGAUAAUUUUGAUGGCCAAACAACAGGACUUAUACCUACAAAUUAUGUCAAAAUUCUUGGUGAAAGAAGAGGCAGAAAAACAAUAGAAUUGAGUACAAUGCCCAAGUCUUUUACCAAUCCAACAUUAAUUAAAGGAGUCACUACCACUGAUUCUUUGGAAGCUGCCCUUGAAUCUGCUUUUGUUGAAACUAAUAAGGUUUCCAGUGCACCUGAUUCUAUAGGGAAAAAUGGAGACAAACAAGGUCUU